CACGGAAGGUGGAACAUGUGGUUUAAUUCGAAGCAACGGGAAGAACCUUACCAGGGCCUGACAUGCAGAGAACUUUCCAGAGAUGGAUUGGUGCCUUAGGGAACUCUGACACAGGUGCUGCAUGGCUGUCGUCAGCUCGUGUCGUGGGAUGUUGGGUUAAGUCCCGUAAAGAGCGCAACCCUUGUCCUUAGUUACCAGCACGUUAUGGUGGGCACUUAAAGGAGACUGCCGGUGACAAACCGGAGGAAGGUGGGGAUGACGUCAAGUCAUCAUGGCCCUUACGGCCUGGGCUACACACGUGCUACAAUGGUCGGUACAGAGGGUUGCCAAGCCGCGAGGUGGAGCUAAUCUCACAAAACCGAUCGUAGUCCGGAUCGCAGUCUGCAACUCGACUGCGUGAAGUCGGAAUCGCUAGUAAUCGCGAAUCAGAAUGUCGCGGUGAAUACGUUCCCGGGCCUUGUACACACCGCCCGUCACACCAUGGGAGUGGGUUGCACCAGAAGUAGCUAGUCUAACCUUCGGGAGGACGGUUACCACGGUGUGAUUCAUGACUGGGGUGAAGUCGUAACAAGGUA
rnacentral:rRNA from 1 species